GUGGAUACACCGAAUCUCGCACGAUCACCGAAUUUAAGCAACGUUGAGCCUGGUUAAUACAUAGAUGGGUGACCGCUUGGAAUAUGAGGUGUUGUAA